rnacentral:rRNA from 1 species
AUGAACGCUGGCGGCGUGCCUAAUACCUGCAAGUCGAGCGCACAGACGAGGAGCUUGCUCCUCUGACGUUAGCGGCGGACGGGUGAGUAACACGUGGAUAACCUACCUAUAAGACUGGGAUAACUUCGGGAAACCGGAGCUAAUACCGGAUAAUAUAUUGAACCGCAUGGUUCAAUAGUGAAAGACGGUUUUGCUGUCACUUAUAGAUGGAUCCGCGCCGCAUUAGCUAGUUGGUAAGGUAACGGCUUACCAAGGCAACGAUGCGUAGCCGACCUGAGAGGGUGAUCGGCCACACUGGAACUGAGACACGGUCCAGACUCCUACGGGAGGCAGCAGUAGGGAAUCUUCCGCAAUGGGCGAAAGCCUGACGGAGCAACGCCGCGUGAGUGAUGAAGGUCUUCGGAUCGUAAAACUCUGUUAUUGGGGAAGAACAAAUGUGUAAGUAACUAUGCACGUCUUGACGGUACCUAAUCAGAAAGCCACGGCUAACUACGUG